AUCAUCUACGCUGUCUGGGUCAUCGCUAAGUAGGUGUCGGAGGGGCUCCUCACCUCUGGCUGCCUCUAGGUGACCCAAGGUUGCUGAAGAGGAGCAGCAGCCGCACAAGAGUAUCUGAAGAUGACUCCUCCGUUUCUAACCCAUCCCCUUCCUUCCACUGUUUUGGAUGAUGAACUUGAUCCUGCUUAAUUAAUUAAUUUCUCAUCGUGCUUAA